rnacentral:rRNA from 1 species
UGCCAGCCGCCGCGGUAAUACGAGGGGUCCAAGCGUUGCUCGGAAUCAUUGGGCGUAAAGCGGGUGUAGGCGGCUAAAUCAGUCAGAAGUGAAAGCCCUGGGCUCAACCUAGGAAGUGCUUUUGAUACUGUUUAGCUUGAGUAUGGGAGAGGGUAGUGGAAUUCCUGGUGUAGUGGUGAAAUACGUAGAUAUCAGGAGGAACAUCGGUGGCGAAGGCGGCUGCCUGGCCCAAUACUGACGCUCAGACCCGAAAGCGUGGGUAGCAAACAGGAUUAGAUA